rnacentral:misc_RNA from 1 species
AAAGUCGUAACAAGGUUUCCGUAGGUGAACCUGCGGAAGGAUCAUUAACACGAAUCUUUUAUCCAAUAUCAAAAACUCAACGCGAACUUUUCCCCUCCCUAUUUCAAACUCGUAAGGGUUUGAUUUAGGCUAACCUUUUAUAAAAAAUUUUUAACCCCUUUAAUUUUGAUAAGUCUUAGGUUAACACCUUGACUAACUAACUAAAAAUUUUACUUAAGAUGUCAACAUGUAUGUUGUGCUUCUUAAUUAAUAUUUUUUCUUUACGAAAUAAAUAUUAGUAUUAUAAGAACAACUCUUAGCAAUGGAUAUCUUGGUUCUC